AGUGAACGCUGGCGGUAGGCCUAACACAUGCAGGUCGAACGGCAGCACAGUAAGAGCUUGCUCUUACGGGUGGCGAGUGGCGGACGGGUGAGGAAUACAUCGGAAUCUACUUUUUCGUGGGGGAUAACGUAGGGAAACUUACGCUAAUACCGCAUACGACCUACGGGUGAAAGCAGGGGAUCUUCGGACCUUGCGCGAUUGAAUGAGCCGAUGUAGGAUUAGCUAGUUGGCGGGGUAAAGGCCCACCAAGGCGACGAUCCGUAGCUGGUCUGAGAGGAUGAUCAGCCACACUGGAACUGAGACACGGUCCAGACUCCUACGGGAGGCAGCAGUGGGGAAUAUUGGACAAUGGGCGCAAGCCUGAUCCAGCCAUACCGCGUGGGUGAAGAAGGCCUUCGGGUUGUAAAGCCCUUUUGUUGGGAAAGAAAAGCAGCAGGUUAAUACCCCGCUGUUCUGACGGUACCCAAAGAAUAAGCACCGGCUAACUUCGUG
rnacentral:rRNA from 1 species